CAGCCGCUGAAAAUAUGCCUUAUGUGUAUGACUUACCGGAUGCCUCUGCUUUGAUAUUCCACAGACAUCUCAAACCUCAGAAUAGGUGCCUUGGGAGAUGGUCUUCAUUAAUCCCGACGGGCCCUGGUAUCACGAAGUAGUCCAGAGGCCACUCGGAAACAGACUCAGAUGAUGUAGCCUUCACUGGAAUAUUCUUGCUGGCACUUGCAGAGGAAAUCCCAUUGGUUCAGCAGAUGGCUAAUGGUAAUUGAAGUUAACUCUUUGGAGAACAAUUAGAGAUUUGCAAAAGGAUUGUAGUAAAAUUGCUUGGGGCCCUAUCAUUGCCCAUCUGCUGAUUUUGAGAACACAUAAUUCGUGUCUCUCAGAUCCAGACACAAACUCAAAGUUGAGGCAUCCUGUAAAUGGCUUUCUCUGGACCAACUUUGCCUUCUGGGGAUUUGUAAUGGUUCUAAAAAUAGUGACCUGACACACUUUAGCUCUAAUUUUUGCAACAGCAUUGCAAGUAGUUGUUACUCUUAUUUUACAAAUAAGAAAACUGACGCCAAGCAAAAUCAGAUAUCAAGUCUUGAAGAUUAUACAACUGCCUCAUACCGGUCAGGAUUCAAACCCACAGCUACCCAACUUCCAAGCCUGAGCUGCUCCUCCAGCACGACUCUAUUCUACUUUUGAAGAAAUGCAGAGUCAGGUUUGAGAGCAAAAUUUUCAUUUGUUAUUUUUCCUGCAGUUUCCAAGAGUGUGCUUAAAAUUCUACCAAGUGACAUAAGGUUAUGACACUCAUCCUUAGUUUUGUUUGCUAUCUCAACAGGAUUCUGUGUGCUUUGAGUCUAAAUAUAAAAUUAGUUCUGUCUGUGACAGGAAAGCCAUCAACUGGACAGUAUAUUAGUUUGUUCCCACACUGCCAAAAAAGACAUACCUGAGACUGGGCAAUCUAUUAAAAAAUGAGGUUCAAUUGACUCACAGUUCCAUAUAGCUGGAGAGGCCUUGCACUCCAUGGUGGAAGGUAAAUGAGGAGCAAAGUGAUGUCUUAUGUGGUGGCAGGCAAAGAAGUGUGCACAGGGGAGCUCUCCUUUAUGAAACCAUCAGAUCUCAUGAGACUUAUUCACUAUCAUGAGAACAGAACAGGAAAGACCUGCCCCCAUGAUUCGAUUACCUCCUAUCAGGACCCUCCCACACAUGGGGGAAUUGUGGAAGCUACCAUUCAAGAUGAGAUUUGGGUGGGGACACAGCUGAACCAUAUUAUUCCACUCUUGACUCCUCCAAAAUCUGUGCCCUCGUAUUUCAAAACCAAUUGUGCCUUCCCAACACUACCCCAAAUUUUUAAUACAUUUCAACAUUAACUCAAAAGCCCUCAGUCCAGUCUCAUCUGAGACAAGGCAAGUCCCUUGUGCCUAUGAGCCUGUAAAAUCAAAACCAAUUUAGUUACUUCCUUGAUACAAUGGGGGCACAGGCAUUUGGUAAAUACACCUAUUCCAAAUGGGUGAAAUUGGCCAAAAUGAAGGGGCUACAGGCCCCCUGCAAGUCCAAAUUUCAGUGAGGCAGUCAAAUCUUAAAUCUCCAAAAUGAUCUCCUUUAACUCCAUGUCUCAUAUCCAGGUCAUGCUGAUGCAAGAGGUGUGUUCUCAUAAGCUGGGUCAGCUCUGUCCUUGUGACUUUGUAGGGUAUAGUCCCCCUCCUGGCUGAUUUUGGUGGGCUGGCCUUGAGUAUCUGAGCCUUUUCCAGGUGCAUGGCACAAAACUUUGGCAGAUCCACAUUCUGGGGUCUGCAGGAUGGCAGCCCUCCUCCCACGUCUCCACUAGGCAGUGUCCCAGUGGGUACUCUGUAUGGGGGCUACAACCUCUCAUCUUCCUCCAUACUGUCCUAGCAGAGGCUCUCCAAGAGGGCCCUGCCCUGAAGCAAACCUCUGCCUGGACAUCCAGACAUCUGUCCACAUCCUCUGAAAUCCAGGCAGAGGCUCCCAAACCUCAAUUCCUGCCCUCUGUGCACCUGCAGUCCCAACACCACGUGGAAACUGCCAAGGCCCAAGACCUACACUCUCUGAAGCCACUGCCUGAACUGUACCUUGGCACCAUCUAGCUAUGACUGGAGCAGCUGGCACCCUGGGCACCAAGACCAUAGGCUGAAUGCAGCAGGGGGGCCAGGAAACCAUCCUUCCCUCCUAGGCCUCCAGGCCUGUGAUGGAGGGACUGCCAGGAAGUUCUCCAACAUGCCCUGGAGACAUUUUCCCCAUUAUUUUGGUGAUUCACAUUGGUCUCCUGGUUAUGCAAAUUUCUGCAGCAGUCUUGAAUUUCUCCCCAGAAAAUGGGUUUUUCUUUUCUAUUGCAUGGUCAGACUGCAAAUUUUCCAAACUUUAAUGCUCCAUUUCCUUUUGAACAUUUUGCUACCUAGAAAUUUUUUCCACCAAAUACCUCAAAUCAUCUCUCUCAAGUUCAAAGUUUCACAUAUAUCUAAAGCAGAGCCUAAAAGCUGCCAGUCUCUUUUAUAAUACACAGCAAGUGUCACCUUUGCUCUGGUUCCCAACAAGUUCCUUAUCUCUUUCUGAGACCACAUCAAACUGGACUUCAUUGUCCACAUUUCUAUCAGCAUUUUGGUCAAAGCAUUUAACAAGUCUCUAGGAAGUUUCAAAUGUUCCUACAUCUUCCUCUCCUCUGAGCCCUCCAAGUCUCUAGGAAGUUCCCAACUUUCUCACAUUUUCCUAUCUUCUGAGCCCUGCAAAGUGUUCCAAACUCUACCUAUCACCCAGUUCCAAAGUUGUUUCCACAUUCUUAGGUGCUCUUUAUAGCAGCACCCACUCUACUGUACCAAUGCACUGUAUUAGUCUGUUCCCAUGCUGCCAACAAAGACAAACCUCAAACUGGGCAAUCUAUAAAGGAAAGAGGUUCAAUUGAUUCACAGUUCUGCAUAGCUGGGGAGGCCUCACAAUCAUGGCAGAAGGUGAACUAGGAGCAAAGUAAUAUCGUACAUGGCAGCAGGCAAGAGAGCAUGUUCGGGGUACUCCCCUAUAUAAAACCAUCAGAUCUUGUGAGAUGUAUUCACUACCAUGAGAACAGACAGAAAAGACCUGCCCCCAUGAUUCAAUUACCUCCCAGUGGGUCCCUCACAUGACAGGUGGGAAUUAUGGCAGUUACAAUUCAAAAUGAGAUUUGGGUGUGGACACAGCCAAACCAUGUGAAGCAGUUAUUCAGAAAGUGUGAUUAAUUACUGGUUUUAAGUAACAAAAGGAUGGUUUCAGUCUUAAAUUAUUUUGAAUUAUUAUUUUUGCUCAAACCUUCAUAGUUGAUUGUUGCAUAUCUUCUUUCUGUUCUUACUUUCUCCAGCAAGAAUUUGUUUGGUACCAGCUCUAUGCAAUACACUGUGAUAGACACACCAGAUAUAGAAGUGAGAAAUAUGUUUCCCAUGUUGGUUAGCAAAGAAGAUGGACAAAUAAACCCAUAAAGUAAACACACAAAAAUGUUUUCUCAAGGAAGGAGAAUUCUUGAAGGAAGUGGUACUUCAGUUGAAACGUGAAAGAUGAGUAAGGGUUAGUCACGUAGAGAAGGGGAGAAGAGAGUAUCCAGUGUAAACAGAAGAGCAUGUGCAAAGCACAGAGACAUGAGAGAGCAGGUAGGCAUAGCUGGAAAGCAAGACGGAUGUAAAAAAAAAAUCAGAACCUUGCAGAGACUAGGUUGUAGAAAGUUCUGUAGACUGAGUUUAGCUGUUUUAACUUUAACCUGAAAGUCACAGGAAAAUAUUAAAGAUGUUUAAAAAAGAAGAAUCAAAGAGAUUUUCAUUUUAUUAACAAACUAUCACUUUGGCAGCAGGUGUGGAAAAUGAUCAGAGGGGCCAAGACCAGAAGCAAGACACCUGUUACUGAGGCAAUGCAGAUGGGAAGACCCAGAUGUAGACCAUGGCAGUAAAGAUGGAGGGGCAGAAUUGAGAAAUACUUGUAGAACUAAUGGAACUUACCUAGAAAGGAGAUUAACUCAAUCCUUUAUUUUUCUUCCUUUUUUCAAAGUUUUUAAAAGGCUAUGACUAUCUUUUCCCCAUUUCCUCCAUACUUAGUAUGACAUUCAGCUAAUUUUGCUUGAAUACCUAUGUCUUAUUCUUUACGAACACCACCAAGCAGCAGCACCUCCCUACCUCCACAACAAGCAGCAAGUGUUUAUGGAGCACCUCUUACUAAAUCGUACUUUGUCCAGUUUUGCGACAAAUGUACAUUCCUCUCUGCUUUGCUUUUGCACUGUCCUGUAUUUUUCAUGGUUCUGUGGUUUCUGGUUUAGUGUGUAUUUUCUUUUGCUCUUCCAGGACCAUAGGAUUUCAGAGCUUAUUAUUUAAGUUCCCAGGUUUUUUAUAUGUACUCGGAAUAUUAUUUCUUACUACUUUCUCAAAGUAAAGCUCCACAAAUAUUUCUUACAUAAUUCCAAUGUAUCUAAAGAGAUUUAGCAUUUGAGUUUUAAGUUAAAUCAAUAAACUGAUUAAAGCCAUAAUUAGCAAUCACUAACUUUUAUACAGAAAUAA